rnacentral:rRNA from 1 species
UACGGAGGGUGCAAGCGUUAUCCGGAUUUACUGGGCUUAAAGGGUGCGUAGGUGGGUUGGUAAGUCAGUGGUGAAAUACUUUCGCUUAACGAAGGAACUGCCAUUGAUACUAUCAAUCUUGAAUGUAGUGGAGGUAGGCGGAAUGCGUCAUGUAGCGGUGAAAUGCUUAGAUAUGACGCAGAACACCAAUUGCGAAGGCAGCUUGCUACACUACUAUUGACACUGAGGCACGAAAGCGUGGGGAUCAAACAGG